UCAAGCUGCAUGCACGGAAAUCAACACGAAGGUUCGUUAGAGGAAGGCGGACGAAGGACGCAGAAGAGAACGACGAGGCGCUCAGUUGUGCCAAGGGUCUCAGGAAGCGGUCGCCUAAAACUCUCCGGCAGGAAGAGCAUCGUCACGAUGGAGAGCAUGGCCAGAGUGCCCAAGGUGAUAUAAGGCAAAUACUUGAAGUAGAUGUCUGUGCCAUACCGACAUGAAAGGGGUUACAAAUUCGUAUUAAAAA